rnacentral:misc_RNA from 1 species
UCUCCGUUGGUGAACCAGCGGAGGGAUCAUUACCGGGUCGGCGACUGCCCGAAACCAAACAGUGCACUGGCAUGUUGUAUUUUUUGUGCCGUCGCGCCGCGGCGGGCUGCUCGCUGGGGGAGCCGCGGGCCCUGGAGUGGGUUUCUUACCCUUCCGGGCCGGCCUGCUAAGGGCGCUGUUCAGAACCGCGCUGAAGAACUUUCAGAGGGUGUCCCUAGUGGUCUUCGGGCCCUGGACGAGAAAAAAACCCAGUCACAACUCACAACAAUGGAUCUCUUGGCUCCG